AGUACUAAGGUAGAUAAAUGCUUGUUUGUAGGCUAUCCUAAAAAGAGUAUAAGAUAUCUCUUUUACUAUCUUACUGAACAUAAGGUGUUUGUCAAUAAAUAUGUCAUUUUUAUGGAAAAAGAGUUUAUCCUAGAAAGAGGUAGUGGAAAGAAAAUUAAACUUGGAGAAGUUCAAGAUCUAUAAAUGCAGGCACAAGAUGAUCCUCAACCAAAAUAUUCAUUAAUAAAGUACAAUCAUAAAAUACACCUCCUCUUC
rnacentral:lncRNA from 1 species